GACGAACGCUGGCGGCGUGCUUAACACAUGCAAGUCGAACGAAGUGGCGAACGGGUGAGUAACGCGUAAUCAACCUGCCCUUCAGAGGGGGACAACAGUUGGAAACGACUGCUAAUACCGCAUACUGAAGGAGGGGAUUGCGUCUGAUUCGCUAGUUGGAGGGGUAACGGCCCACCAAGGCGAUGAUCAGGAGCCGGAAUGCGAGGAUGAGCGGCCACAUUGGGUCUGAGAAACGGCCCAGACUCCUACGGGGGGCAGCAGUGGGGAUUCUUCCGGAAUGGACGAAAGUCUGACGGAGCAACGCCGCGGGAGUGAUGACGGCCUUCGGGUUGUAAAGCUCUGUUAAUCGGGACGCGGUACCGGAAUAGAAAGCCACGGCUAACUACGUGCCAGCAGCCGCGGUAAUAC
rnacentral:rRNA from 1 species